GAUGAACGCUGGCGGCGUGCCUAAUACAUGCAAGUCGAGCGAACAGACGAGGAGCUUGCUCCUCUGACGUUAGCGGCGGACGUGUGAGUAACACGUGGAUAACCUACCUAUAAGACUGGGAUAACUUCGGGAAACCGGAGCUAAUACCGGAUAAUAUAUUGAACCGCAUGGUUCAAUAGUGAAAGACGGUUUUGCUGUCACUUAUCGAUGGAUCCGCGCCGCAUUAGCUAGUUGGUAAGGUAACGGCUUACCAAGGCAACGAUGCGUAGCCGACCUGAGAGGGUGAUCGGCCACACUGGAACUGGGACACGGUCCAGACUCCUACGGGAGGCAGCAGUAGGGAAUCUUCCGCAAUGGGCGAAAGCCUGACGGAGCAACGCCGCGUGAGUGAUGAAGGUCUUCGGAUCGUAAAACUCUGUUAUUAGGGAAGAACAAAUGUGUAAGUAACUAUGCACGUCUUGACGGUACCUAAUCAGAAAGCCACGGCUAACUACGUG
rnacentral:rRNA from 1 species